AAGCUUGUAUGAGGACCGGUCUAGUGAUACACCCUCUGUCAGUUUCAUCUCGUCAACGAGGAGGGCUCCUGAAAUUUAGCGAUAUUAAGUGUAAAUCCCUAGUGCGUAUGUUCAAGUUUUACCACACAGUGAUAUGGGGUACGAGCAACGAAGGCAUCAGGAACACAUUUGCUUGCACUCUACAUGAUUAAAAUAACAGCCCAGAACCAAGUGCAGUCAAGCACCAAGCUGCCCAGAAGAGCACUUCACAAAGGAAGAAGAAGAAACCU